rnacentral:rRNA from 1 species
UACGUAGGGGGCAAGCGUUGUCCGGAAUCAUUGGGCGUAAAGCGCGUGUAGGCGGCUCGGUAAGUCUGCUGUGAAAGUCCAGGGCUCAACCCUGGGAUGCCGGUGGAUACUGUCGAGCUCGAGUCCGGAAGAGGCGAGUGGAAUUCCUGGUGUAGCGGUGAAAUGCGCAGAUAUCAAGGAGGAACACCAAUGGCGAAGGCAGCUCGCUGGGAC